GUGAAUACUCUUAAGAAUUAUUAUUACUCCCAACUCCCCUUUACAAUGAAGGGAGAGGCAUCUAUUUAUAGUUGAGCCUCUCCAAAUCCAACGGUACAGAUUAAUUACAUCAACGGCUAAGAUUAAAAGGUAUCUACAAAUUAAAUCUCUAAGAUUACAAAAUCAUAUCUUCUAAGAUUGCAUAUCAUAUCUAAGAUUACAUAUCAUAUCUAAGAUUGCAUAUCAUUGAAGAUUAUGUUUCCAUAUGCAUCAAGCUUGUAGAUAGACCUUCAACCUUUUCAAGUAAUAGGCCAUCCCGAUCGGGCCAAAUGAUAUAAUUUUGGACUUUAUUUUAUUAUUUUGAGUUUAUUAUUUUUUUAUGAGCCCGAGCUAAAUUGGCUUAUUACACUACUUGAACCAGAUCAAGCUGAGAGGGUCCUCAGAAUUCCUUUAGCUGUUUCAAGUCCUCCAGAUGUAGUGGUGUGGAGGUAUGAAGGGUUUGGGGAAUACUCCAUCAAGAGUGGGUAUAAAGCUUUUUUUGAGGAGUUUCAUAAUAUGGGUGAUUACUUGUAUGACACUGCUACAAUGUCAGAAUUCUACAACAAAAUGUGGGCACUACAACUUCCAUCAAAAGUGAAAAUUUACAUGUGGAAAUUACAUAAUAAUUUUUUGCCUAAAUUUGGGAAUUUAGCUAAGAGAAAGCUGCUAGUUGAUGGUGAUUGUCCGCUGUGUAAGGAGGCAGAGGAGACUGUUGAGCAUCUGGCACGGUCCUGCCAUAUUUUGCAACAUAUAUGGAUGCAUCUGAAGAUUGCAGUGAGUCCAGCGAUGGUGGCCUCAGAUUAUAAAAUAUGGUUAGCACAGGCAUUUCUAAAUGCAGAUAUUUAAACCAGAAAAAUUAUGGUCACAACUUAUUGGGCUAUUUGGUACAUGCGUAAUCGGUUGGUUCAUGAAGGACUAAGGUGGACAAUUCAUGAAAUGGUAGGUUUUGUCCAAGGGUAUGUUCUGGAAUUUGAGACUAUUUCGGCCCUAAGACUACCAGUCCAAAAUACUAUGAAGGAUUUAUGGAGGCCUCUAGAAAGAGGCAGCAUUAAAAUAAAUUUUGAUGCAUCGUUCCAUGCAGCAAGCCAUAGCUCUAUCUCUGGGUUUAUUGCUAGAAAUGAUUCGGGUCAGAUUAUGGGAGCGGGUACUUACCGUAAUUCUGAUGUAGCGGAUGCGUUUGUAGCAGAGGCGAGUGCGUGUGAACGGGCGGUCAUUUUUGCAACAGAGAUGGGAUUCCGGGAUGUCCAUUUUGAAAGAGACUCGCUGACAGUAAUUAAAAAGAUUUACUCAAGAGAAGAAGAUAAAUCGGUUAUCAGGUUCAAAAUAUUAAAGAUUAUAAGAGGAACUUUGACAGGGUUACUUUCCGUUUUGUUCGUAGGGAAGCUAGCACAGCGGCGCAUGCACUUGCGGGUGAAGGUCGUCGGUACCAAGAGGCUGUGUACUGGAUUGAAAAAGACCCAUAUGUGGUGGAUCAGAUUGUGGCUGAGGACUGGGUUCAAUGGCUACGCAGAGGAGUGGAUAGCAAUUCGCAGCUUUGUGGCGUGGAGAAACUCUAUCUUGUACUCCAUGGAGGUCAUCAAAGCUUUUUCUCUCUGAAAUUAGUCGCUUCAAUCUCAUGCAGCUGUGUUGGGGCAGUUUUUUGGAGAGAUUUUAUUUGGCUUUUCUCUGUAAUUCUGGUUUCUAGGGUAAGGUUGGGGGUGUUGUUUUGUUUUUUUGGUUUCUUUUAUGGUAUUUUAUUGUUGCCUGCCUUUUGCAUUUUAAUCUGUUUUGAUUGGAGCUCUAUGUCGGUUGUAUAACCGGGGGCCUGAAACCCCUUUUCUUAAAUAAAAAAAAAAGAAAAAAAUUCA
rnacentral:lncRNA from 1 species